AAUUUGCAAAACGAAUGGGAAAAUUCGACAUUCUCUCUGUACUCUUCUUUACAGCUAUUUAAUUGCCGCUUUUAUUAAAAAAAAAAAUUCGGCAUAAAAAAAUUGCCGAAAGCUAACAGCGUUCCCAAAGAUAUUUUUUUUCCCCUUCUUCCUCCCACGCUCUCUCUCCAACUAAUGAUCGCAAACCUUUUCCUUUUCUUGAUAACCAUAGUAAAAAAAGUUCUCCACCCUUCCACCGCUUUCUUCCCGUUCCUUGACAUGCGGUAGAACGGCGGCGCACAUGGUGGCGGUGAGGCUCCGUCCGAUCGGCACCGUCGACGACCGCAUACGAAGGCGGACCAAGAUAGCACCACCACGACCACCGGCGGCGACGGUGGAAGAAGGCAUGGGGAGCUUCCACGAGCGGAUGAUCGACGAGUCCCUCACGUCCCGCUACUCGGAUUGGAUCGUGGAGGCGUUGGACGAGCUCCCGGACAACUUCUUGAUCACAGAUCCGGGAAUCUCCGGCCAUCCGAUCGUCUUCGCCAGCCGCGGGUUCCUCGCCAUGUCGGGAUACGCCCGGGAGGAGGUGGUGGGCCGGAACGGGAGGAUCUUCCAGGGGCCCGCCACCGAGCGGCGGUCGGUGAUGGAGAUCCGGGAGGCGAUCCGGGAGGAGCGGACGCUCCAGAUUAGCUUGCUCAACUACCGGAAGGAUGGGACGCCGCAUUGGAUCUUGUUCCACCUGUGCCCUGUCUUCGGGAUGGAGGAUGGGCGGGUGAUCCACUUCGUCGCCGUUCAGGUGCCGAUCCCGAGGCGGUCGAGAUGCGCGAGGUCGGGGGCGAAUGGAAUGGUGUAUGGGGCGUGCCGGAAUGAGGUGCGUUUGGAUGACGAUUACGCGUGUAAUCUUGCAGUGGAUUCGGUUAUUGAUAUGGAUAACAAAGCUUUGGAGGCUGAAGAGUCUCGUAAAGCGAGUGUUUGGGAGAAGGAGAAAGCAUCGAAUGCUGCUAACAGCAUCUUAUCAACACUGACUCACUAUAGCAAGCUUACGGGGAGAGUGGUCUGCACGAAGAGAUGCAGUUCAGCUGGCAUUGCGCCUCUCAGUUCAUCCCUGAAUAUAUCUCUCGGUAGAAUCAAACAGAGCUUUGUAUUGACUGAUCCACAUUUACCUGAUAUGCCCAUUGUCUAUGCCAAUGAUGAAUUCCUAAGUUUAACAGGUUACUCUAGACAUGAAGUCUUGGGACGUAACUGUAGAUUCCUAAAUGGACCUGGAACAGAUGCUGGAGUUUUACAUCAGAUAAAGGACUGCAUUCUAGCAGAGCAAGCUUGUUCAGUGCGUCUUUUGAAUUAUAGGAAAGAUGGAAGCUCAUUCUGGAACCGUCUUCACAUAUCACCUGUACGGAAUGCAUCUGGCAAGAUUGCAUUCUAUGUUGGGGUUCAGAUGGAUGAGAAUUCCAAGUGCGAUGAGCAUGGACUUAGCCCAGAGAUGAGGCAGCUUGGUGCGGUGGGACAAGUUAAGGUUGCAGUAAGGAGCUUUUCUUCGCGUGCUGGCCCUUCGAGGCCAUCAUCAUAGGGUUCUGCCCCUUCUGGCAUGACCAAACUGGCGAGCCCGACGAGUUUAAUACAAUGGACCGGUUUGAGUUGACGUGCCGCAAGGCGAGCCUAAGCUUGAUGCUCCUGUUAGGUCAGCGACCAAACCAGAAAUGUGACUGCUGACAGGGGGACUUUCAUGGAACAGGAAUUGGGGUUGAAGAAUAUUGGGUUGAUACGGACCAUGCUCAAAUAAACUUUCCAGUUUAUGAAUCGAGCAGGAAAUUCAAUCUAAAUUUUGCUGGAGUAUCCAGACCGGCUCUAAAUAUCUUUUGUAAUGGGUAACUACUGCUUGAAGGAAUUCUACUAGGGAAAGGAUUCAAAAAGACCUGAACACUUUGACAGGAUCAAAAAAAAAUUAGCCGUUUGAUUACAGAAAGGAAGGUUCCCUCAAUUCAGAAUAAAUCUUCAUUUUGGCCUGUGUUGAGGUGCAAGGAGAUUUCAAGUUGGUGCUCUUUAGCGGCGGUUUGUAAUAAGAUUCUUUUGAGGGUUCUUGAUGAGAUACAACCAAGACCACUUACAUAGUAAAAUAACAUUAGGAUGUUGGUAAUCUGCACCGAAAUGUUAUGGCUUUGGCUUUGUUUUUUUUUUUUUCUUUCUUUAGUUUUGGCGGAAAUGUUACGGAUUUAUUCAGGCUGCAAACUACGCCUGCGGGUAUCAGGAGUUUUCUAGCAGAUUCGUUUUUUAAAUUUCCUCAUUUUGACAUUGCCAAGUUCUGCUCGAAUGGGUCCAGUGGGUUUUAUGGUAACUUCACAUGGUCUAGUUUGGUUACUUAUCACUGGCUAUCAUCAUUGUAGAAGGAUGGUGAUGUCAACAUCGGAGCGAGAUAUCCUGUAAUCGAAGGCUGACAAAAAGUCAAAGGCUGAACAUAGCGUUCCAUGUCACUGGAAAGAAACCAAACUAGGCUGAGAUACCGUGCUGUUAAGUUCAUCAUGAAAACGAUUUGGCAUCUAAAUCAAUCGCCACCGGAAAAAAAAAAAAAAA